GUCAGUCUGAUCAUUGAAAAUCUCGUCUUUGAAACUUUUGUGCUCUUUAAGAAAGUACAUAACUAAAGAGAUUUUGUGAUUGAAAAACAAAAUUCGGCCAAUUCCAAAAUGGAAACUGGGAAACAUAACGAAACGCGGAAUGGCGAUGAAAAAAGGACUUCAGCAGUUAAAGAAAGCAGCUCCACAGGUGAACCACAGUCAAGACCUCCACGAUGGAAGCGUUCAGGAAGAAAAGCUCGGGAAAAUGAAGAAUCGGCUCAAAAACGAUUCCAAAACUUCUUGAAAGAAUUAUCAACUCCUCGUCGAUGGAACUGAAAAAAAAGACAAAUAAACAUAUCAGCAUAAUCUCUCUCUCGAAAUUGCACUCUU